AGUGGAUUUCAUUGGACUUUUAAUCCAAGGGUCCAGGGUUCAAGUCCCUGCU
rnacentral:tRNA from 1 species